rnacentral:rRNA from 1 species
GCGCAGCAGUCGCGAAUCCUUCGCAAUGUGCGAAAGCAUGACGAAGCGACGCCGCGUGGAAGAUGAAAGCCCUGCGGGGUGUAAAUUCCUUUUAUAGGGGAAGAACUUUUGUGACUGUACCCUAUGAAUAAGGAGCUACUAAUCACGUGCCAGCAGUAGCGGUAAUACGUGAGCUCCGGAGCGUUAUCCGGAUUUACUGGGCGUAAAGCGUUCGUAGGCGCUCUGUUAAGUUUUCUGUUAAAUCUCUAAGGCCCAACCUUAGAGCUGCAGAAAAAACUGGCAGGGUAGAGGAUGUC